CCGUCCCGGCGAGCACCUGCCGCCGCGCACCCGCCACUGCCUGCGCCAGCGAGCACGCCCCCUCCGCGCGAUGCGCUGCUUAUCGGACGCCGACUGUUCGCGGAGCGGCCCCUGCUGAGACGCCACCCCCGCCGAGACGCCGCCCCCGCGCCCAGUCGCGUGUCGCCCGCGCCCGGCGCGUGCCACGCACCCCGCCGCCAGCGUCUGUGACGUGCGACUGUGACUGUGCGCGUGUGUGACGUGCCGUUGCGUUCCGUUCCGUUCUGUGCUUGUGUUUGGAGGCUCGCCUCUGCCGUCUCCUCUCUUUCUGUGGAUACGCCGGAAGGUGCGGAACGGCGACUGCAUACUCCACGUGACAGCUAUGUCUGGAGAACCCGAGGAUACGAAAGAGCAAACCCAAAGGAAUGAUACAGAUAUAGGCCUCCAAGAUGUGCACCUCUCUGAUCCGAACGAGACUGUGUACAUGAUCUGUGGUGUGCUAAUUGCCAUGGUCCUGGUGGCACUCAUCAUCGUGCUGCUAGCUCUGACCAUCAG